rnacentral:ribozyme from 3 species
UUUUUUUUUUUUUUUUUUUUUUUUUUUCU